rnacentral:lncRNA from 1 species
GUGAGGAAGUAAACAGAUAAAGUUUGGAUCUUGUAUAUGGAUUUUGUUUAAUUAGGGUUCCUAAGGUAGUUUGAUAGCUGACUAGGUGUUUUGAGUUUUUGGCAUUAAGAUUCAAUUUUAGGGUUUAUUGUGUCACUCUUGAGGCUUCUGGUGUUUUUUGUGUUAUGUAGUCUAUUUUGAUGUAGCUUACAAAUUAACAACAAUUUUGCAAGUGGUGGAUUGUCCCAGUGGUUAGGGCCUUCCUUUUCAACCCCAGUGCAUCCCGAGUCCAAACUAUCUCCCCUCCACUUGGAGUAGUUUAGAUUAAAAAUAUCGCUUGUGUUAAGAAUAACGAUCUCACAAUUCAUUAUAUAUGGCAAUUUGGAAUUAGAAACAAGAAGUGUUUAACAAUGAGGCAAGGAGAAAACUGUUAGGCUUUUGCAAUAAAUGUUCUGUGGUGGAAUUUGCAACCCGAAUGUCGUAUGGGCACGAUAGUUACAAGACUUACUUUUUUUCUUUUCUUUUUUCCGUGUCAUUUAAUCUUCACUGUGCAUUGGGGAAGGUUUUGUGUACUUGAUUCUCUUAUGUUAAUCCAGAUUGGAACCGACAUUUUAAAAGUUUUCUAUCACACUAUCUUCUGCUUCUGCUUCUCCAGUAUGUAAUGUUAGAUCCAAAGGAAUAGCAGAGAGCUUUUGCAAAGUUUGAAUGCACGAAAACUGGGAGAAUUGUUAUUAUGCUGAACAACUAUUGUGGCCAAUAAAUAGCCUUACACUGAGAUAGAAGGAAAAUAACCAUCCACGACUUUACAGGUCCUAUAAUCGUGGUGCAUGACUAUGUUAAACAGAAAAGCAAUCUUGUUCCUCAAGUUUAGGGAGGAAUUAUUCAACAUAACAGAAAUAAACCUAAAAACAAGGAACCCUAACCCUAACGGCUAGGAGGCUCCAACAGUUUCAUCAUCCUCCCUUAAACUAAAUGCCAUUGUCAUUCAGUUUACACCUGGAUAUUCACACAUACCCAGUAAGCCUCGCAUCUUCAGAAAUACAUCAAGCUUUAAUGGCUUUGUUAGAACAUCUGCAACUUGUUCUUGUGUAGAACAAUGAAUUAACUCCAAAAUUCCAUCCUUGACAAGAUCUCGAAGGAAAUGAAAUCUUACAUCUAUGUGCUUGCUACAACCAUGCAUCACAAGAUUCUUUGAGAGUUUAAUCAUUGAGAUAUUAUCACAAAACACCACCGUUGGACUGCUUUGCUCUUGAUUUAGAUAUUUUAGAAUUCUUCUUAACCAUACGACCUGACAUGCACUUGAUGCUGCGGCUAUGAACUCAGCUUCAGUGGUAGAGAGAGUAACCACUGGUUGCUCUUUAAAGACCAAGAGACAGCUCCCAAGUUCAUUAGAAAAACAUAACUUGAGGUACUUUUCCUGUCAUCCUAAUCGCCGGCAUAAUCACUGUUCGUGUACCCUACGAGUUCUUCACUUCCUUCCUUCUUGUAGAACAUCCCAAAACUAACAGUGCCCUUCACGUACCUCAAAGCUCUUUUUGCUGCCAAUAGGUGAGACUCGGUAGGACGCUUCAUGUACCUACUGAUCAAACUGACGAUAAACAUCAAAUCGGGGCGUGUGGCAGUCAAAUACAUGAGACUUCCCACCAUCUGCUUGUAGACAGUACUAUCAACUUCAACUCCCCUUUCAUCUUUCGUGAGUUUGAAGCCAGAAACUACUGGAUUAUGUAUUGAGUUACACUGAUCCAUAUUGAACCUUUCCAAAAUCUCUUGAGCAUACUUCCGUUGACAGAUGAAGAUGUCUGUCCUUUGUAACACUUCAAUACCAAAGAAAUAUCUCAUUUUUCCAAGAUCAGUCAUGUCAAAUUCGAUCAUCAUGGAUUUCUUAAAUUGUUCGAACAUCACUUCAUCAUUGCCAGUAAAAAUAAGGUCAUCAACAUAAAGACAUACAAUUAAAAUUUUACCUCCACCUGCAGUUUUAAUGAAUAAAGUAUGCUCAUAAGGACACUUGGUGAAGCCUUCUUUGAUGAAAUAUACCUCAACGCGACUAUACUAGGCUCGGGGAGCCUGUUUGAGUCCAUACAAAGCUUUUUUGAGUCGAUAAACCUUGGAUUCAUGCCCCUUCUGCUCAUAGCCUGGAGGCUGAUCAAUGAAGACUUCCUCAUUAAUUUCCCCAUGCAGAAAAGCCGACUUGACAUCAAGUUGGUAGAUCACCCAAGCUUUCUGAGUACCAAGGGAUAUAACAAUUCGAAUGGUGUCCAAGCAAGCCACUAGUGCGAAUACUUCAGUGUAAUCAAUUCCAUGUUGUUGACAGUACCCCUUUGCAACUAGCUGAGCCUUGUACUUGGCCACUUCUCCAUUUUCGUUGAACUUUGUCUUAAAGACCCACUUAACUCCUAUGGUUUUCCCUCCUAAUGGCAACACUGUUAAUUCCCACGUGUCGUUCUUCUCAAUGGCUUGUAUUUCUUGAUCCAUGGCUUUCCUCCAUUUUUCAGACUUCACAGCUUCUUCGAAUGUGAUGGGAUCCUCGUCAGUAAACAAGGCUAAAUGUGCCAAGUUUGCACUUUCUUCAUCAGAGGGACCAUGUCCAGUUUCAUAGUCUCUCAUCCACACAGGUGGUCUUCGAGCUCGCAUUUCACGAGGUGAGUUUUCAUCAUUUGAAGUGUCACCUCCAUCAGACUCGGGUUCAGUUUCUCCAGAUUCUACGUUGGCUUCAGACUCUUCUCCAUCUCCCUUGUCUUCUACAUCUGCUUCUUCUACAGUUUCCCACUCGAGAUCAGCCAAUAUGGCUUGUUUGUGACCAUCAUCCCAAUUCCAUUGUUGAUCUUCUUCAAAUACCACAUCUCGACUAACAAUUAUUUUAUUUGAAAGAGGAUCAAAUAAUCUAUAAGCCUUGGAUUCCUCACUUACCCCAGUAAUAUGCAUUUGAAACUCUUGGCAUCAAGCUUUACUCUUUUGUUGUCAGGUACAUGUACGUGGGAAAUGCAUCCAAAAAUUCGAAAAUGGUCCACUGAUGGUUUGUGCCCACUCCACGCCUCAUCAGGUGUUUUGUUCUUCACGGCAAGUGUUGGACAUCGAUUUAGAACAUGCACCGUCCAAUUCACUGCUUCAGGCCCGAAGGUUUUGGGAAUUUGCUUCGUUGACAACAUGUUUCACACCAUAUUCAUAAUGGUGCGAUUCUUCCUUUCCGCGAUACCUUUUUGUUGAGGUGUAUAGGCAGCCGUCUCCAUUCUCAUUGCAGAAGUUGGUGAAUUCCUGUGAUGUGAAUUCUCCCCACGAUCUGUUCUAAGGCUCUGUAUAUAUGUCCCAGUUUCCUUCUCAACUCUUGCUUUGUAAGAUUUGAAUGUGGCAAAUGCUUGACUUCUCCACCAAGAAGUAAACCUAGGUUUUUUUGCUGAAGUCAUCGAUGAAGGUGAUGAGAUACCGUUUCUUGCUGUUUGAAAUCGGGUUGAUUGGUCCACAUAUGUCGGCAUGCACCAGCUGAAGAAUGUUGGAGGCUCUCCACAUACUUUCUUUUGGAAAUGGAUCACGGUGUUGUCUUGCCACCAAGCAGUUUCACACACUUUUUGAGAGGCUUUAAACUGAGGCAACCCUACCACCAUGUUCCUUUGUUGAAGCACUUUGAGCCCAUUCCAGCUAAGAUGUCCAUAUCGACAGUGCCAAAGGGUUGCUUGAUCUGUAGUCAGUGAGGAGAAGCAUUGUUGUUCCUUUGGUGCGCAACAAGCAAGCACAGCAAACAUCCUGUUAUGUGUCAUCUCAGUUUCCAUGAUUAAACCUUUCUCAUAAUGAAAGAUUUUGCAUGUUCCACGUUGGAUAAGUACUGCUAGCCCCUUUUCUUGCAACUGACUGAUGCUCAACAAGUUGUUUUUCAGGUUUGGCACGUAGAAGACUUCUGUGAUUACAUACACAAACCCAUUGACCUCCAUUCGAAUCUUACCCUUGCCUUGUAUAGUAAGACUCGAGUCGUUGCCAAGCUUCACUGAUUCUCGAAAACUGCUAUCAAGAUCACAAAACAUGGUUUUGUUCCCACACAUGUGAUUACUACACCCAGAGUCAAGGAACCAAAUGUGCUCCACCACAGCCUCCUUUGAGUUCACAAGAGCCAUCAACAACAUCUCCUCCUUUGUUUCUGCAUAAUUCGCUUUUUGUUCCUUGGCUCGCUUAGGGCAUUCCCAUUGAAAGUGCCCUAGCUCAUGAUAAUUGUAGCACUCUAGGGUAGAUUUGUCGAACCCAAACCUACCCCUUCCUCUUCCUCGGUAAGUGCCUCGGCCUCCACCUCUUCCGCCUUGUUGGGAUCCAUGAGUGAUUUGAAGUGCUUGUUCAUCGUCCACAUGUCGGCUAAUCCGUUGUUCAUGCACUAAGAGGCUACUCUGAAGCUCGUCUAUGGACAUUGUGUCCAGAUCAUUGGAUUCCUGAAUGGAGCAAACAACGUAAUCAUAUUUUGAAGUCAUAGACCUCAAAAUCUUUUCAAUGAUUACCACAUCAUCCAUUCGCUCCCCAUGCGUUCUCAUCUUGUUAGCUAUGACGAGAGUUCUGCCAAAAUAAUCAUUAACCGACUCCCCAACCUUCAUGUGCAGCACUUCAAACUCUUUGCGAAGAGCUUGCAAUUGAGCACGCUUGACACGCGUUGUUCCUUGAUACUUUUGCUUCAAAGAAUCCCAUAUAUCCUUUGCCGUAUCUUUCUUCAAGAUAGUCUCCAGUAUCGAACGAUCAAUGGCUUGGAACAAAUAGUUCUUAGCCUUGAGAUCUUUCAACUUCUUAUCCUCAUAGGUUUUCUUCUGUGUCUCACUAAGAUCCGAUCCUCCUGCUGCAGCAGUGAUCCCCGUCUCUACCAAGUUCCAAUACUCUUUGGAACGUAGAAAAUUCUCCAUCAGCAUACUCCAAUGGUCAUAGUGACCAUCAAACCUUGGAAUGACAGGUUGCACGAAGCCACUCUCGGAUGCCAUAUCUUUGUUUCUUCACUCUAGUACCUGAGUCACAAGCUUUAGAUCAGGCCCCGUGAUGGGGCUCUGAUACGUGAUGUUAAAACCAAAGGAAUAGCAGAGAGCUUUUGCAAAGUUUGAAUGCACGAAAACUGGGAGAAUUGUUAUUAUGUUGAACAACUAUUGUGGCUAAUAAAUAGCCUUACACUGAGAUAGAAGGAAAAUAACCACCCACGACUUUACAGGUCCUAUACUCGUGGUGCAUGACUACAUUAAACAGAAAAGCAAUCUUGUUCCUCAAGUUUAGCGAGGAAUUAUUCAACAUAACAGAAUAAACCUAAAAACAAGGAACCCUAACCCUAACGGCUAACAGUUUCAUCAUGUAACACAUCCGAGAUCCUGACAACCCCCUCUACCUUUUUUUAACAUUCAUCUAAGUCUUACUGCUAGCACAACCCAACUGUCCACUUGCCUCCACAAAUUUUCUAUGAAUUUAUGAAAAUUGUCUUAGUAUCCUGAACUACUAAGUAACUUGCGGGAUAGUGUUGGUUGGGCAGGUUA